rnacentral:rRNA from 1 species
UACAGAGGGGGCAAGCGUUGUUCGGAAUUACUGGGCGUAAAGGGCGCGUAGGCGGCCUUCUAAGUCAGACGUGAAAUCCCUCGGCUCAACCGGGGAACUGCGUCUGAGACUGGAAGGCUUGAAUCCGGGAGAGGGAUGUGGAAUUCCAGGUGUAGCGGUGAAAUGCGUAGAUAUCUGGAGGAACACCGGUGGCGAAGGCGGCAUCCUGGACCGGUAUUGACGCUGAGGCGCGAAAGCGUGGGGAGCAAACAGG